UAGAUGGAUGCAUCUGGUAUCGUUGGAGGUGUAGGCUGGCCGCGGGCGGGAAAUUCAGUCCAGGAAUGAAUUUGAAAUCUACGGACCUACUUCGCACUCUUCAGCUCAUCCUUAGUUUUAAUGAGAUGUCUCAAGAUGACAGCACCAUUCGUCGCACCGUUUCCAGAUUUGCAAGUCAAGCUCGCAACAUUAUAAUGAAUGUUCAUCGUUACUUCAGCUCACAGUGGGGAGCAGACUCAAGAAAUGAAGUAUUUGAGAAGACCGCCAAAGCUACAGGAGUGCCAACCAACACAGUGAAAAAAAUCAAGCGACAGUCAUCUGAAUGUGGUAACGUCCCCUUCGCUUCACCUGUAUAUCCCAGGAAGAGGAUCCGAGUGAAGGACAAGGUGGAUAGUUUUGAAAAUGAAUGUAUUCGGAAGGAGAUUUUGUCUUUUUACGAGAGAGGAGAGCUCCCAACGU